AUGGAGGAGCAGAACGCCAGUCCCAAGAGCUCCAAGGAGAAGGACCACCUGAGAGAUAGAGGGAGUGGCCAACAGGAGGAUGGCACCAGGCGCACCAGCACCCUGCCCCGGCAGCUGCCUCCAUCCCACACCUCUUCCUCCUCCCGUCCACAGCUGCGGCAGCUUCAGGCUGGCCAAGGCCGGUCCCUGCACCGACUGACAUCGCCCCACAGCACCCAGGGCACCCAGGGCCGGUCCCUGCACCGAUUGACAACACCCCACAGCACCCAGGGCCGGUCUCUGCACCGACUGACAACACCCCGCAGCACCCAGGGCCGGUCCAUGCCCAGGCUGACAUCACCCCGCAGCACCCAGGGCACCCAGGGCCGGUCUCUGCACCGACUGACAACGCCCCGUAGCACCCAGGGCACCCAGGGGCGGUCCAUGCCCAGGCUGACAUCGCCCCGUAGCACCCAGGGCCGGUCCAUGCCCAGGCUGACAUCGCCCCAUAGCACCCAGGGCCGGUCCCUGCACCGGCUGACAUCGUCCAACAGCUCCAAGGGCCAGUCCCGGUCCCAGCUGACAUCGCCCCGCAGCACCGAGGGCCGGUCCGUGCCCAGGCUGACAUCGCCUGGUAACUCCAAGGGCCGGUCCUGGUCCCGGCUGACAUCGCCCCACAGUACCAGGGACACUGAGGCCCGGUCCCGAUCCCAGCUGACAUUGCCGAGGAGCACCAAGGGCCCAUCUGUGUCCUGGCUGACAUCACCCGGCAGCUCCAAGGCCCGGUCCCAGCUGACAUCACCUGGCAAUACUGGGGACACCGAGGACCAGUCCAUGCCCAGGCUGACAUCGUCCAGCAGCUCCAAGGCCCGGUCCCGGUCCCGGCUGACAUCACCUGGCAAUACCGGGGACACCAAGGGCCGGUCCCAGUCCCAGCUGACAUCGCCCAGCAGCUCCAAGGCCCGGUCCCAGUCCCGGCUGACAUCACCUGGCAAUACCGGGGACACCAAGGGCCGGUCCCAAUCCCAGCUGACAUUGCCCGGCAGCACCGAGGACCAGGCCAUUCCCAGGCUGACAUUGCCCGGCAGCUCCAAGGGCCGGUCACGGCUGACAUUGCCCGGCAGUACCGGGGGCACUGAGGGCCAGUCCCGGUCCCGGCUGACAUUGCCUGGCAGCACCGAGGACCAGGCCAUACGCAGGCUGACAUUGCCCCAUAGCUCCAAGGGCCGGUCCCAGUCUCGGCUGACAUUGCCCAGCAGCACCAAGGCCUGGUCCCGGCUGACCUUGCCCCACAAUACCAAGGACACCGAGGACCCCUCCGUGUCCCAGCUGCCAUCGCCCCGCAGCUCCCUGGGCUCAGGGGGCACCGAGAGCCGUCCCAGCCCGGACAAGGGGGAACAAGGCCCGUGGGGGCGCAGGUCCCACCCUGCUGGCUCCUCACAGCCGCCCGUGAGGAGCCGCCGGGCCUGCAGCGGCCCAGUGGGGCCAGAACCGGCCUCCGUGAGGAAACCAUCUCCUGACCCACAGAGAGAGGCCUCUCACCGUGCCGAGCAGGAAACCCAGACGGAGGCCUGGGCCCAAGAGGUGGAUUCAGCUGUUCAAUACACUGAGCAGAUGACACAGACACAUCUUGUGGCAGAACAGGAGAAAAACUCAGCUGCUCCCCUCAUGGUUGACCAGAAGACACAGACUGAGACUCCAAGACAAGUGAAUUCAGCUUCCCCUCAAACCAACAAGAGGACACAGAGCAAGGCCCACGGCUCUGCCCGCUCCACAGGCACUGGUGCCCCCGCUCAGCAGCAGCCGCCCUCGCAGCUGUGCUGGGCGUUCUGGCGCUCCUGCACAUCUGGACAGCCUCCUGCUGCCAGCACCCUGCAGGGGCCCGGGGACAGCCGCUGCUCCAGGCAGCCAAAACGUCCUGAGCGCGGCACGCCAGAGAAGUGGGGAUGGAUGACACUGCCGCCCUACUCCUGGCCAUGGCUCAUUGAGAUGAAUCAGUUUUAAUAAAAUAUUUCAUUCCUCUAAUCGUGCCCACCUGUGCCUGGUCCAUCAGGAGAAAGUCGGCUGCAGGUACGGCCCGUGCUGAGCGGGAGAGCCCCCAUGCUCCUCCAGCCAAGCAGAGCCUCUGCCAGGCUUCAGAUCCCCGGGCUGGUGCUGGUGGCCAGCCCUCAGCUGAACCCUAUCAGCUCCCUCCCACCCACCUGCUAUCCAAGUGAACAUUUCGGAGCAUAAAUUUGGCGAGUUUUCCCUAAGGCUUCACCUGCUUAGGCCCAUGAGGAGUCUCCCUGGUGUGGGGGUAGGAGCACCUCUCCCCCUCUCUUUUUAAGACCAGCCUUGACUUCUCCUGUACCACUUUGGGGAGUUCCUCUUGGUGGUGUGUGGGCAAAGCUCUCCUCCUGGUCCUGGCAUCAGGGCAUUCCUGCAGCCCUUUCUGAAAACAAACAGAACUACAGCAUUGCCCUGAGCUCCCUCUGCUCCCUCAGGGGUGAGUAAAGCCAGCCAGGGGCCAGCUGCCCCACGGACGGGCUGGUGGGGCUGGGGCCAGACAGGGCUACCCCAACAUCGGUGUUUGAGGAUGGCUGGGCUUGGCUGCAGAGCUCCCAGCAGCAGGGUCACGCAGGAAGCUGGCAGGAGCAGGGAAGGCUCCCUGUUUUUCCAGCUGUGCAGACACACGGGCCCUGCAGGUCCCACUUCCCCUCUCCCUUCCCCAAGCCACAGACUCAGGCUGACACGCACAGAAAUCUGCCUGGACACGGAAAAAAAGGCAGGAGCCAGGGAGCCUGAUGCAGGUUUUUUCUGUACAUCAGUGUUUUUGACACCACAGCCUGUUGCUGCAUAUAAUAAAACAGAAAUCAGAAAGAGCA
rnacentral:lncRNA from 1 species